GGUGCCGUGGCCGAGUGGUUAGGCAGAGGUCUGCAAAACCUUGUACGGCGGUUCGAAUCCGUUCGGCACCU
rnacentral:tRNA from 1 species